AUACGGAGGGUGCAAGCGUUAUUCGGAAUCACGGGGCGUAAAGGGUGCGUAGGCGGUUUGAUAAGUCUGAUGUGAAAUCCUAUGGCUCAACCAUAGAACUGCAUUGGAAACUGUCAGACUAGAAUACUGAAGGGGCAGAUGGAAUUAGUGGUGUAGGGGUAAAAUCCGUAGAUAUCACUAGGAAUACCGAAAGCGAAAGCGAUCUGCUGGGAAGUUAUUGACGCUGAGGCACGAAAGCGUGGGGAGCAAACGGGAUUAGAAACCCCAGUAGUCC
rnacentral:rRNA from 1 species